rnacentral:sRNA from 1 species
AUUAUAAGGUGGUGCAGUAUUCUAGUCAACAAUGCCAUGUCUGAAGGCGGGCCUAAAAAUCCGUCGAAGAGCACAUCGAUGAAGCUUCUGGUGCUGGCUGCCGACGCCCAGUCGGGGGUUGGUGCUGGAUGUAAGGAAGAAGGGCGAUCCGCAAUGGCAUGCGGGCGUUGACCCCGCUUCCGUGGAGGCCCAAACGGGUGGAUUGCAUGAAAAGUCCUAGACGGAUAAUCUACUCAUUGGGGGUAAACCUGUAUUGCGGCGAAAGCUGUGUGCAGCAGUAGCUUGCCUUGAAGCGGUUUCUGUGGGAAUUCGGUUCAUCGCGUUAUGUACCUAGAGCUCGGGUCGCAGCGCAAUCUGCGGAGGAAAACACGACUGCAAAAGAGGCUAGGACCUGGCGGAGUUGCUGAGGAAAGCUCCUAGACUGUCUGUGCGUGCCGGGGAUUAUAGUGUGGUCUUAACGGCAUUCCAGUCAAACACGCGGCGACGUGGUUUGGCGGCGUAUAAUGGGAAACCGCUUCUAUCGGCAACGGGGAGUUCGCCGCCGGGAAACCCUACUGGACCUAAGCCGCAAGGUUUAUCCGGCACGUCACCACCUUUUUUUA